AAGGCUAAGCCUGUAAAGAGAAACCCCAACUUUUCAUAUUCACAAUUUUCUUCAAACCUUAGAUUUUUUUUCUCUUCUUUCUAAACUCUGUGCUCAAAUCCCGCCACAAAUAGCUUUCAUGGGGAAUUUUGAUAUGUUACCAUCAGAGAUCAUAUCAGACAUUUUCACUCGGUUACCAGCCACUCUAGGUUUAGAGAUUAAACGUGUAUGCAAAAGUUGGGAAAAAGUUGCUGAGCAUCCAUCCUUCUUUAAAUUACAUUUGGAUCUUCUAAAUCAACUUAAUUCUGCUGAUUCUGGUGAGUUUAGUUUUAUUAUCUACUGACUAAUGAUGAUAUUAAUUGGCACUUACAUUCUCUAGAUUUUGAUAAGAAUUCUUCUGAGUCAGACUCUCUUGGACAUGAGAUAAUGGGUUUCUGCUGUCCAAUUGAUUGCAGUCUGGUUGGUUCUUGUAACGGCUUAAUUUGUCUACAUGGAUUAACUCAUAGUAUUACCCCUCAUAACUAUGGUGAAGAUUCUCGUAUUGUCUAUGUAUGCAAUCCCAUUACUAAAAAAUAUGUCACGCUUCCAAAAUUAGCGAGACCAUCUGGCGAUGAACCUGUAUAUUUCUUUGUGAUUGGAUUUGGUUAUGUUCCUACAGAAAAUGAAUACAAGGUUGUUAGAAUGUACAAGUUGAAGGAAGGAUCCAAAUUUGCUCAAAUUGAUGUUUUCACUCUCGGGAGUGACAGGCAAUGGAGAAAUGAAGGGAAUAUAGAGAUUGAGAUUGGUAUGGGUGCUUGGAAAGAUGGUGUGUUUGCAAAUGGCAAUAUCUAUUGGAAUUUGGGAGAGGGGGAAAUUGUGGCCUUCGAUUUGGCUGAUGAAAUGUUUGUCGAAUUACCUGAAUGUUCUGGAUUUAGGGAGAUUAUAGAUGAUGGUUGGAACAGGUGUAUUAGAUUUGGGGUAUUGGGAGAUUGUUUAUGUGCGACCCACUACAAUACAGAAACUGAAACUUCUGAUGUAUGGUUUUUGGAAAAGAAGCAAGAUGAAUCAUUGAUGAGUUGGAGUAUGGGAUUCAGCUUAGACGCCAAUACCGAUGGAUAUGAUGUAUAAUACAGUACUCCACUUGCCCUUACAAGUAGUGCUACAGUUCUCUGUCGCUCACCUACCGAGCUCCAUCUUUAUGACCUAAACUCUUCUUCUUCCAAAAACCUUGCGUAUCAUAAUGAAUCCUUUUAUGAUGUAAUUCCUCAUAGCAAUUAUUUAGUUUUCAUUGAUAGCAUUGGGGGAUAGAACACAAAUCACUGAAUCUGGAGAAAGUGCAAUUGAAGAAAUAAAAGGCAGAGAUUGGCAGAUGAAACAGUGAUAGGAAGGAAGAGAUCUGGAGAUUCUGGACAACAUAUUAUCUGGCAGUGUAAUCAGGCUGCAGAUGCCUCAGCUAAAGACGCUAAAUCGAGUCCUCUGAUUCAUACCUGGCGUGGUUGUCCUUCUCACUGUUGUGCUAGCUAAGGAGCAAGGACUACUCUUAUUUACAUCAAGUGUGUUUUCUUAAAGCUGAGUUUUUGAUUUAAAAAUAGAAUAAAAAAUUGUGACAUGUCGACUGAUCCAAACAUGGGUUAUAGUCAUGAUGCGAUUCUAGCAUCUGUGUUGAAUCCUCGUUCAAUAUCGUUUCAGUCAGGUGUUGUAAAUAGCUGUUCAUCUCCCAGAAAAGUAGUGAUGCACAAAGUCUGUUAUCAUCUGUCAAUACACACUGAUAUUUC